AACGAACGCUGGCGGCAGGCCUAACACAUGCAAGUCGAGCGGACCUUUCGGGGUCAGCGGCGGACGGGUGAGUAACGCGUGGGAAUAUGCCCUUCUCUACGGAAUAGUCCUGGGAAACUGGGGGUAAUACCGUAUACGCCCUUUGGGGGAAAGAUUGAUCGGGGAAGGAUUAGCCCGCGUUGGUGUAGGUAGUUGGUGGGGUAAUGGCCUACCAAGCCGACGAUCCAUAGCUGGUUUGAGAGGAUGAUCAGCCACACUGGGACUGAGACACGGCCCAGACUCCUACGGGAAGCAGCAGUGGGGAAUCUUAGACAAUGGGGGCAACCCUGAUCGAGCCAUGCCGCGUGAGUGAUGAAGGCCUUAGGGUUGUAAAGCUCUUUCAGCUGGGAAGAUAAUGACGGUACCAGCAGAAGAAGCCCCGGCUAACUCCGUG
rnacentral:rRNA from 1 species